rnacentral:rRNA from 1 species
UACGUAGGUGGCAAGCGUUGUCCGGAUUUACUGGGCGUAAAGAGCGCGCAGGCGGUCGUUCAAGUCGCGUGUGAAAGCCCCCGGCUUAACUGGGGAGGGUCACGCGAUACUGAUCGACUCGAAGGCAGGAGAGGGUAGUGGAAUUCCCGGUGUAGUGGUGAAAUGCGUAGAUAUCUGGAGGAACACCGGUGGCGAAGGCGCCCACCUGGCCUGCUACUGACGCUGAAGCUCGAAAGCUAGGGGAGCAAACGGG